CAGAGAACACGUAGGGGCAAGUAGAACAUAAAACCACAAAUGUGAGAAUGUUAACUAUAAACCCAGCAUGAGGGAGUACAAAAAAAAAGGUAAUUAAAUAGCUUGCUGAAAGCAGAUGAAAGGAACUAAUGAACACCUUCGAACACAGCCUCAGCAAAGGUGUACCACCAGGGAACCAUGACUGCAGGCUUAUAUGUGGCAGAGAAUUAAAAUGAGGUUUUCAGAUAUGGCCAGACUGCUAAAAUCCAUGGGUGAGUUACCUGCUUCUGUGCUCUUACAACUGGGGAUGUUCUCAUAUGUUUUCCAGAGGUGAGACAUGCAGGCAAUAAGUGGUAGUAAAGGUAAACAUUUCCACUCCCAAACACUGUUUCAUGACCAGUUUGCUUUAGAAAUUACCUUAUUGCCUAAAUGAGCCAUGCACCACUCAGGCAUGAAGAGGACUAUGUCCCACUAAGCCUUAGAAAGGCCUGGAAAAUCCCAAACCAGCAAGUGGGGUGUCUGUGCUGGUCAAAUUGGAUAAAACCACCAAUCAAGUUAGCAGAUAACAUGCCAUUAGAUGUAACUAAUCUUGGGCUGUGAUUUUUGUCAGGGAGUCUCAUCUCUUGCUUGACUAAAGCCCUUAGAAUAACUGUAGGGUAUUGCUGACUAACAAAGUCCUUGGAUUCCCAAGAGGCUUUUCAAUGACAUCAGCUUUGUGAAGGGCAGGCUCUGUUCUGCAGGGGUGCAGUAGGAAGUGGUAAGUUGUGUCAAGGAAGCGGUGAGCUCUCUCAAGAGUGUGCAGGGAUGCACGGAGUUAGGAAGAGAGGUGAACAGUGAGCUGCCUUUGCUACUGCAGUGACUCAGCACAACCUCAGGUGAAACCAGGAAAAGUUGCAGAACAGCCUCCUGGAGGCUGGCUUGUGGGAAGCAGAGCAGCACGUUUGGGAAACCUUCUAGAGCAGACAUGAAGAAAGGCAGAGGGAAGUGGUCUAAGCUGUGGUGAGCUUUCUGUCAGUCUGGGAGAGGCUGCAGAUAGUGGCUUGGAAAUGUCAGUUCAGCACCUGCCACAAAGGAAACUCUGAAAGUCCUCCAGAGCCAAAGAUCCAGUCACUGAGGACAAAUCCAUCACAGACCUGGAGUCUUCCAUGCAGCCUGUGUUGGAAAUUGCCCAUCUCACAAACUACAGGGGAAGAAGAAAAGCUGCCUGCAGAUCUGGAGAAGUUUGUUUCAGUGCAGAGCAACUGGGGCUCUUUAGCCUGGAAAUGGAAGUAUAUGUCAGGCUGCUACACUGUGAGCAGUGUGAGGAACAUGGAGAAGCAGUAAUGUUCUUAGAGAACAUUAGAGGACAGGGAUAUGAUUUCUCUAUUCUCAGACCUUGCCCAUACAUGUGAUCCUUUUCCUCUGUCCUUGACAAAGCCAAGAAGAAAUUAAGAUAAUAGAGAGAGCUAAAGAGCUGAAUUAGGAAGGCAAGUGUUAGGGCCUGCCACAAGUCUGAGACCACAGGCAGUGCCCCAAAGGUUCUUCUGCCCAGAGCUUAAAGAGAUACCAAUCUUAGUAGAAGCUGCUUAUCUGGGCAAAAGUGGUUUUCAGUAAAUGCUAGACUGAGAUCUAGAAACCACAGUGUCCUUCACCAGAUAUUAAAUCAGAAGUCCUUGGAGAGAGCAAACGUUUGAGCAGUGGUCUCUGUGUGGUGCUGCUUUACAUACCCUUGCUUUCUCUUUAGCAGUAGUGAGAGGAUGAGGCUGUUUUCAUCUGGAGCACAGCCUGUGAGGAAGCAAGUGGCCAGGAAGAAUGGGUGAAAUUCUGCAUGAAACAGCAAAGAAACUUCUGCUUGCUUUGCUCCAAAUUUCAGUGGGCAAGAGGAGCCUGGAGAGAUAGGACUAGAGUGUAGCAAAUAAUUCUCAUGUCACUUUGCUCAACUCUGCUUUCCUAGACAAAGACACCACUGCUGUUCUUAGUCAUCUCUAGCCAAGACCCAGAGGCUUGCUCCAGGGCUCAGAACAAAUAUGUAGCUCAGCCAUGGACUGAUCCCAGUCCCUAGUCCAUGCGCUGCUUCCCCAAGGGUUGGCUGAAUGCAUGAGCUGAUAAAGCAGGGCUAACUUGCAUGUGCUGUACAUCUCGUAGGAGGUUUCAGCAUUCUCUUUGGCCAGUGAUGUCUUCUCUUUGAUGAGUCAUGGGUGAGUAAAUCACUCCAGUGCUGUCUCAUUUCAGUUUGAACUCUGGAAAGAAAGGUAGUUCAAGGAGUAAGUCUUGGAUGUCUCAUUACAAAAUAGGCUGGGUUUUGUGAGGCUGUUUAAUACAGAGAUCCCCAGGGCAUAAAGUUACAUGCCUUUUAGAAUGAGCUACAGUCCAUAGGAUUCAGAUACUGCUUCUCAGAAGCUCUCUUUAUCCCCAAACCCCCCAGUCUGAAGGCAUGGGUGGGGUGCAACUAUCUGGCCUUCUUCUACAGUGACCUGUAACUGUGUAGGACAUUCAGAAGCAUUUUGCCUGGGCUGGCCUCUGGUCUGUGCUUUCCUUCCCUGCCAUGCUUUGACAAGGCAGAUCUGCAAGAGAAGAGAACUGAUUCCUUCCUUCCAAAGCAAGCCUGACUUCAACCAGCUAAGGUGGCCAGCACCAGAACAAGAGGACACAGCCUCAGGCUGCGCCGGGGAGAUUUAGGCUGGAGCAAGUAACAAAAUGAGA